rnacentral:rRNA from 1 species
UACGUAGGGAGCAAGCGUUAUCCGGAUUUAUUGGGUGUAAAGGGUGCGUAGACGGGAAAAUAAGUUAGUUGUGAAAUCCCCAUGCUUAACAUGGGAACUGCAACUAAAACUGUUUCUCUUGAGUGCUGGAGAGGAAAGUGGAAUUCCUAGUGUAGCGGUGAAAUGCGUAGAUAUUAGGAGGAACACCAGUGGCGAAGGCGACUUUCUGGACAGUAACUGACGUUGAGGCACGAAAGUGUGGGGAGCAAGCAGGAUUAGAUACCCUGGUAGUCCACACCGUAAACGAUGGAUACUAGGUGUAGGGUGUGAUAAACGCUCUGUGCCGUCGCAAACGCAGUAAGUAUCCCACCUGGGGAGUACGGCCGCAAGGUUGAA